rnacentral:misc_RNA from 1 species
GAUGAUGGCUAUUUCAGGAGGAAUUACUCCGCCAUGGCUGCAGCUGCGGCAGGCGCAGCCGGAAUGGGGGGGGGAGAGGGGGGGGGGGGGGGGGGGGGGGGGGGGAGAGGGAGAGGGAGAGCGAGGAAGAUGAGGAGGGAGAGGGGAUAAGGAGAUUGGCUCGAGCUAUUGAGAGAUUCGGAGAGGCUUAUGAGAGAGUGGAGAGCGAGAAGUUGAGGCAGAUGUUGGAUUUGGAGAAGCAGAGGAUGAAAUUCGCCAAAGAUUUGGAGAUGGAGAGGAUGCGUAUUUUCACUGAGACGCAGAUUCAGCUUGAGAAGAUCAAGAAGGGCAAGCGAUCUGGGUCCAAUGGUGAGAGAGAUUAUUAAAAUUGACUCUAAUUUACUUUGUUCCUUUACUUUUAUGUAAAUCUUUGUUGUAAGUUAGGGCAUGGAGAUUUCAUGAAUUAAUAUUAUUGUGGAUUUUAUGCACAAUUGGUAAUAUCAGAAGAAUUUUAGACCUGCUAUGAAUAGAACAAUACAAACAAACCUGAAC